rnacentral:lncRNA from 1 species
CUCAAAGCUGGUUUAUUCAAUUUACGAUUAGACCCUGAAGUUUGCGUACACAUACACACACACACACACACNNNNNNNNNNNNNNNNNNNNNNNNNNACACACACACACACACAAACAAAAUUAAGCACCACUCUCUGUGCCUGUACAGUGCAACAUGCUGAAACAAACACACAAAACGUAUUAAUGACACGGCAUAUAUCCAAUCCACAAGAAAGUCAUCGUUAGUCGGUACAAACAUGUAUUAUUUGGAUUGUUUGCUAUGGUGAAAGUAAUUACCUGAAUUCAUUAAUCAGAGAGCAGCACAGCUUCCCGAAUCACAAUAGGAAUGACGACUUUAUUGGUUUAGUUGGAUUAGAUAUACAGGGAGUAUGAAUUAAUGGCCCAUUAGAAAAUACAAAAAAUAGUGGUCCUAUGUAUUGCUGGACAGAACUAGAAAAAGUAUAUAAAAAUGGCACACAGUUUAAACAGAAAACAGAAUAAGACAACAAUCUGUUAUUUUACAACUUAUUUACAGAAGCCAUGGUCUCAAGGUAGUCUCGUCUCUGUGGACUCCUAAAGCUUCACUAGCAGGCGUGUUUGUGUGUGUGUGAGACUGCAAAUAAAUUAUACUGCUCCGCAAACUCCUGCUGUGUGCUGCCAGUGCUGGCUCUGUGCUUCACAAAUAUCACGCAUGGAGCACACUACAUAGAAAAUAACGAUGCAUGAGCUAUCGCGUUCACAUCUUUUAUCUUUGGAGACUCAAAUAUAAGAUGUCAAAAUUAGUACACAUCUCCAUUUCAAAGGCAGAGAGAGAUCUCAACUGAAUUUAAACUUUCUUUUUUACGUUAUUGGGAAACAACUUUUUUUGUGGUUUUUUUUAUAUGUUUAAAAGAGCGUGUGAGGGUAUCAAAGAACAAAACAGAUUAAGAGCUUGUUAAGUUUGACAGCGCUUCUUGGAAAUGUCUAGCACGUUCUCCAAGAAAGGAUAGAAAUGUCAUGAAUGAGCUAAAAGAACAGAGAGAAGAUUACAGAUAUUGUUCCAUUAUGAUUAGACUCCACACGCUGGAGUCCUGGACUAACGUGAAGCCACACAGUUUCCUCUGUGAGUCUUCUAUCAGCUGCAUGUUGCUGUCUUGUAGAUGGUAUGCGAUGCUGCUUCUCUCCUUGGGCAAACAGGGAAGUCUAUGCUUGGAAGUCAUUUCCAAAGUGUCUCCUCUGUUCUUCGGUCAUGGACAGGUAGGUGGCCCUCAUAGUGGGAGAGUACUAUAGACAAAACACCAACACAGAGACAUAUAUAGAGAAUAUUACAAGUCUGUUGUAU